UACGUAGGGUGCAAGCGUUGUCCGGAAUUAUUGGGCGUAAAGAGCUUGUAGGCGGUUUGUCGCGUCUGCUGUGAAAUUUCGGGGCUCAACCCCGAACUUGCAGUGGGUACGGGCAGACUAGAGUGUGGUAGGGGAGACUGGAAUUCCUGGUGUAGCGGUGAAAUGCGUAGAUAUCAGGAGGAACACCGAUGGCGAAGGCAGGUCUCUGGGCCACUACUGACGCUGAGAAGCGAAAGCAUGGGGAGCGAACAGG
rnacentral:rRNA from 1 species